UAUCGGGGAAGGACGCCGGCCGGUCGCCGCCGCAGACGACGACGCCGACGACGACGACGACUACGUUCAGUCCGCUCCGACAUACGCGACGGUUCGUGUACCCUACGCGAGCGCUCGCGCGCAACUCUCUCGGCACACGGUGCCUUUAAAUUUGUAAAUUAUUAUAAUCGCGCCGACUUGACGUUAUGAAACGUACACACUCUGCUCAUACUAUAUGUGUAUAUAUAUACGUAUUCCGGUGAGCUCACGAGUAAAACCAAAUAUGCGCUCGUGACCGCCGCACGCCAUUACAUAUGUACGUAAUAUACGCGAAAUAAUAAUAUAUUAUUAUAAGUAUAUAUAUAUAUAUAUUUAUUAUACAGCCGCGUCGCCGUUUGUGCGACACGACAUAAAAUUAUCAUUAUUUUACGAUUUUUAUCGAGCACAUCACCAUCGUGUUAUUAUACUGCACAGUAUAUUAUAAUAUUAUUAUAAAUAUAUUAAUAUAUAUAUAAAUAACAAUAAUAAUAUAUACGACUUGACGGGCACGUUCGAGUUUUCUUUACGAUUCUUUUUUUUUUUUAACGUCUGUCGUCGCCGCAUAAUGCCAUGUCGUCGUGACGCAAUAAUAAUAAAAAAUAUAUUUUUUAUCAUAAUAUUACUGUAUCUAUAUAAGUAUAAUAUCGUUUUUCAAACGACUCUGAUCGGGCGUUCAAGUCUCCGCGCGAGAAAAAAAACAGAUGACAGGCCCGUCACUGCUGUACGCCUCGCAGAAGCCUAUACAGCCCGUGUUAUAAUCGACAUUAGUUCGAUUAACGCCACUUGCGGAGAACGCCGACCGUACGGAAUUCAUGCUAACGCAAAACAUGAAACGGGCUCCGGCGACCGUAUUGACUACUGCAGUACAUCGCGGUGUGCCCGACAGAGGACGAAGGAUCGCCGACGUACGCGACACGCGCUCCAAUGCUUGUUUUGGUGUUAGGGAUUUAGCGGACCAACGGUGGUCGACACACAUAGAUUUAAACAGUCCUACUGGCCUGCUAAGUCCCAAAUACCAGCAAGCCCCUCGUCAACGCUGCAGACGACGGACGAACGAGUUUUAUUUUCAUUUCGUUUAUAUAAUAGUAGCGCUUUUAUACUGUUUAUCGAUAUUAACGUAUAAUUGUAUUAUGCUGUGUUCUAUAAUAUUAAAAUAAUAUUUAACAUUAUCGUUUAGAAGUAGACUUAAUUAGGUAUUUAAAAAAAAAAUGCAAUUUUAACAUAUUUCUAUUUCGUUGUUAAUUAUUUGUGACGUACCUACCUAUAUAGUAUAUAUAGGUAUUAAGAUUAUUCUUUAAGCGACCCCAUACGGAAUGUCAAUAAUAAUAUUCAUAUAUACCUACUAAAAACGAUUAAUAUAAUUAGUGAAAAAACAUAACUGUUGUGCUUACGCGUCAACACGGGACAACAAAUCCGUACGCUAUACGACUUCGGGUGGGAUCCAGACAUUCCAGUCGGACACGAAAGCUGAAAACCGCGCACGGUGUAUUCAAAACUAUAUUAUUGUACAUACCAUACGCGAUAUACCUAUAUAUGUAUUAUUUUGGACGGAUUACCCCGUUUUUUUAACUGGGCGGUGUAACGAAUGAGAAACGAGUUGGGGGAACACUAUUCCAUUGUACGUAUAACCGUCCGCGGGGUUAUUUUUAUGAUAAGGGUUGAUGUUCGUUGUAUUAUACUGAUAAAUAAUUAAUGAUGGCAAAUCUAUUAUAAUAUUAUCACAUGCCCCUCGUACGUUUUCACCACUUACCCACAUACCACCCCCCCCCCCCGACAUACACAACUCUCUGCGUGAUGGGUCGGCCAUCGUUUAUUUACUAAAAUGGCGGGAAAGUCUGCGCAUACAUUUUUCCUCCGGUUUAUUGUUUUUAAGAUUUCUUAUUUUUUUUUUGCUAGCCGCAUAACGCCCGUGAUGGUUUUUAAUUUCAUAUCCCGCAGAGCCGAAUAUUUUCUCGGAAAUGUCUACAAGAAAAUUCUAAGAACGAAAAAAUAGUUUCAACGGAUUAUAUAGUUCAUGAUACGGUGCGCGGGGUUAAAAAUAGUUUUUUCCGAGUACAUUUUUGUUUUAUGAUUUCCUGAAUCAUUUUAUCGUAAGCGUCCUAAAUCGUAUUAUAACCACGCCGGUGACUGCAGCCCGUCCUACUAUACAAACCACUUUUUUCGAUUUGUAUAUUAUGCUGGUCGCUGCAAUUGACCUGUUCGGAAGACUUACGUAUAUCAAACCCGCCUUGAAGCCGUAAAUCAUUCGAUCGUUUAUUAGUGUAUAAAUGUAUUAUUCUUUCGGCAGGUUUUCACACCGUCCGAUUUUUUUACCUCUUACAACACGAUGACUUUUAUAAGUUAUUAAAUAUACACACAAUAGGUGUAUACUUAUUGUACGGGGACAUAUAACUUCAUCAAAAAUUAUUUCAAUUAUUUUUUUCGAUUCUAUAUAGAUAUGGCAAUAUAAUUAUUAUUAUACACUUAAACACUUACAUACGAAAUUAAAGUCUUAACAAAAUGUAUUUUUUUUUCAAAUAUUAUAUUUUAAGUAAACGUAUAAUUAUUUAAUUGUAUUCAAAACGUAUUCAUUUAGACCAUAUUAUAAUUGUAAAUCGUAUUAAUUAUAAUUUUGGACGUGUAUUAUUGUUUAUAUUUUAGAAUGAUAGUGUGUAUGUAUAUUGCGUGCAUGUGGUAUUAUUGUGGCUGCAAUAAGAUUGUAUGAAAAAAGUCAUUAGACACAAUUUGUAAUAACUACUGAUAUAUAAUAUAUAUUGUUUAAUCAUUGUUAUGUCAUUUAAAAACCUGCAAUACGACUUUAAAUAGGGUAGUUUAAAUCGAUUUUCAGACACAAUAAUUUAGACGACUGUUAAUAAGCGUUAACGUUGAAACGUUUUAAGAUAAAUUCAACGUCUUAGCAUUAUUUGUAAUUAUAAUGCACGUUAGAUAGAGAAAAAAAUACAAGAUAUUAUUCAGAUGUAUAUAUAGACUUAA